GGAGAGGUGCCCGAGUGGCUGAAGGGGCUCGCCUGGAAAGUGAGUGUGCGUUAAUAGCGCACCGAGGGUUCGAAUCCCUCUCUCUCCGCCA
rnacentral:tRNA from 1 species